UCCCUAACCUGCUGUCUCUCUUACGGGGACGGGGGUGCGGUGAUGGGCAUGAAGUGAUGGAGAGCUCAAGUGCGGAGAUCCCCGUGGAUGCGGGUUGCUGAUGUCAUGUGUCCUGACCAAAACCCUGCCAAAAUCUGGUUGACUGCUCUGGUGCAGGAGGGUGUGUUCACACACAGAAGCAAAGCUGGAGCUGAGCAGGAACUGCAGGUGUUUUUAUGGGGGAAAAAAUACAGAAAUUAUGGAGAAAGUAGUGUGUCCGGUGCCCAGUAACGCUUGUGGUGGGGACUGCUCUCUGGCUAAACAGAAAAUCCCUCUUUCUGCUCCUGCAAAUCCACCUCAGCUUGUUCUUAAAUCCAGUGCUGCCCUGAGAGCAUCGCACGUCUCAAGCGUGGUCCUCAGUGUUGUAAAUGUUGCUUUAUGGUGAGGCUGUGUUCUUUUGCAGGCUGUUUAAGAAGAGUAUCGUUCAACAAACAGCAGUUGCAUGCAUUCACGUCAAGUUAAAUCAUUCUUUCAAAAGGUUUACUUGUCAGGUAUUCAUUAAAGCGGGUUUCACAUCAAAAUGAUAGUCACUAAUACAGUGAAAACAUCUUUUACAGCUUUCAGGAUUCUUAUGGUGCUUUGUAGAAAUGACAGGUCUCCACCGGUACGGAGACGUUGUUGUGGACCUGCAUUUCUUGUGUCCCUGCCCGAAGAAAAGGAACAGUGCACAGCAGUGCCACGUGCGGGAGGAAGAAGGGCAUCGCUGAAGGGUUUUUACGUAAAUAGGGCGUGAUGGACUGUGUCUGCAGAUUUAGUACGGUGCUCAGGCUCGCUGCAAGUCGGGCAGGCACCUAAAUACGGAUUGAGGCGUCUCACUUCAGACUAGCUAUUUUUGAAAAUCCUGGCCCCAGCUUGCGAAUUGAUGGCACUUCGGUUUCGAGGAGCAGAUGGCACCCACUAGUGAUCUGGGACAGCUUUUUUGCAUCGGUGUCAGAAAUAGAAAAAAUGCCAGCUGUGUCGCUUUUGGGUCAGUGGAGGUGGGGGCACAGUGAUGUGCACAACCUUGCAGCAGAGGGGGGAAAUACACGAGCUCCUUUUAGUGGUGCAGAGUGCUUUUAAAUGACUUCAAAUGCUCUUUUUGCUUGUCUUUUUGAGCAGAUCAAUUGCCUGUGCGUACCGCUCAACAGUAAAAUAAAUUGCCUGAUGUUAUUCUGCUUAGGCUUAGACCUUAAUUGGUGCAAUUCAGUACUUGCAUCCGGUGCCCAGGGAGAGGUGGGAGGCUGUGGCGGCGAUGCACGGGCACAUCGUGGCCGUGUCAACAGGAGCCAUGGCUAAAAUUAGUGGCGCUAAGCGGGGACCGGAGGGAAGGAGCUGUGGUGCCCUUGCUUGCCUGCCGUAAAUCAAGUGUUACAGGGUGGGUGGGAAGCCUGCCAAGCUGCUCAGCGAUCGGUCAGGAGAGGAGUUUGGUGGGAGUUUGGGUCUGCUGGAAAAACAGGGGUGGUGUCCGUUUCUUGGCUUGCUGCUCUCAUUGCUGGCGUUCGAUUGUGCUCUCAGCCUACAGGGAGGUACAUAGCAUCUAUGCGGAUGACCCUCUUUCCUUCGCUUAAUUGGGUGCCCAGCCUUCUUUUUGACUGAAUAAAGCCAUGAUGCACAAAGAAGAGAGUUGGCAUCACUUAAGCUGAAAACCGGGCUGUGUGUGUGCAAGGAAGCUGAUCUGCAGGCACACCCUGCUGGCUUGUGGUGAGAGUGCAAAAGGAAAUACAGGCAUUUCACAGCUUGCCUGCCUUUUUAUAAUCUUUGUUAACUUUUUCCAUACUACCUCGCUCUUCGUUUUCAUUUCUGAAAGCACACGUGGUGAUGCAUGAGCCGCUAAGUUUUCCUAAGUGGGAGGACUUCUGCAGCAGAUCCCAAUGUGUUUGGAGACCUCUCUACCAGAUUUGAGUGACUUCAAAAAUGAUUUUAUAACGUGUAGCUUGAAAUGGUUGAUUUAAAGUAGGCUGUGUUUGACACUUCUCCAUGCCCUAACAGAGCUAAGCAAUACUGUGAGUGUGACCACUUUCAGGAGUUUUCCACAUGAAGAAAAUUACCAGAAUAGUAAAUGAUGCUGCUCUGGAAUUUCUCCCAGAACCCUGGGUGAUGAUUGCCUCCAUGUGGCUUUAAAAACACAGACACACACACACACACACACACACGGAAAAAAAGGCCUCUUUUAUCCACAAAUAAACUGUCUGCACUGAGCGUGGUUCUGAAAUUGCUUCUGUGGUUAACAGCAUGGCUGAAUUGCCUCUGAGCAGUAGUUGUCUUCCAAUUGUAUCUGGGCUUCGCAGACCAAAUGUUACAGCUGAUGUUUCGAAGAGUCAUGGGAGAUCAUUGGGAUUCCCAUUUCAAACCUCUCAAGUGGAACCUGUUUUGAAAAAUUGCUGUGUAGGUGAACGUUGGGCUUGUUUAGAGAUGUUGGGAACAAAACACCCAUGCUUGUUAGCUCUGGAGUGGCUGAACACACAUGCUUUUCAAGGUGCAUACUACAAUUUCAUGUAUUUGGGACAUAUUUCAUGUUUUCCCCAGCCAAGAUUAGGAUGACCACAGCACAGCCCUGCCUGUGAGCCCUGCAUGCCCUAGAGCUGCAGGUGUCCUUUUCUGUACCAGCUUCUUGAGGUUGUGGCCCAGCUCGCUGGCCCUGAAGACCAGGAGCCUCACCUGGAGUAUGCCACAGGUCUGUGUAAUACUGGAAGACCCUUGCCCUGUUGUGAGAUUUUGUGAUCCUGCAGCAGACAAGGUGCAGUCAGUCCAAACUGGGGAGGAAGCAGAAAAGUGGCUGGCUGGCUGAUGUUUUCCUUGCUACAGGAAGGCUGUGAAGCCUGUGGUCCAACAACAUCCCUUUCCUGUGGUGCAAGGCCAAGUGUACAGAGGGAAGCAAAAUUAUCAGAAUCUCUCAGCUGCUGCUCUUCCUUUGAGCCGCCCAAUACCACGUCUAACCCGAGGCUCCUCAGAAGAUGAUUCACAGAUUUGUGGUGUGAAAGUCCUCUUUCCCAAAGAGGAGAAUUACAGUUCACCAGUUCUGAGCCCUGGCUGCUUCCCUUAUGCAGCUCACAGCGCGACCCAGUUAAAUUGCUGCCCGAGAAGAACAGCGAGGGGUAAGGGGCUCCGGCACGUGUGUGGGAACGGGCAACUUUGCCACCAGAGAUAACGACAUGCCAGAAACGCUCCGAAUUUCAACAGUGCAACCCAGACAGGCGAGGCAGAAGCCCACGUAAUUGGGUCUAAUACUGCUAUGGAAACUAUGCUGAGGGCUAAAAAUAUGCCUUAAAAAGCAGAGUCUUUUCUUGUGCAUUCUUCCACGCCGUGUAUGAAAAGAUGGAGGGUUAUGAAGCAGUAAAAGAUGAUGUGAAGAUGCUCUGUGACACCAGUGAACUCUAAAGAAGCACAAUUCUGCUUUCACAAAUGUUUCAAAUGCACCAAAAUUUACUUGGGAAAGUUUUGAAUGUUUGUCUUCUUGUGAGUUAGGAUGAACACACAUGCAUUUAACCACUAAACUGGCUACUUGCAAAAGCUGCUGCUUAAACCAGGCUAGUUUAUAGCCUUGAUUAUUCCUUCCAUCCUUCUUCUUUUUUGCUUUUUAAUCUCUGAAUCCAGUUUCCCAAACCCUAAGUCCCCACUGGCCUACUGUUGUGGAACUGUUCAAAAGUCCUUGUCUAAAUAUUAAACACCCUUGGAGUGUGGCGGUACACGGUGUGCAGCCAUGUGGUGCGGUUGCUGGUUUCGACUUGCUAGCACAAGGUUGGUAGUUGAGGACCAGGAACAGGAGGAGAAGGUCCAGGUUUGCUCCCACUCCCCAGCCUGCUCUGGUAUCAAGAACUGAGCUGCAGUUUGGCACGGGUCUCCUGAGUUAAGCAUUAAGUAUAGUUGUGGGUUGAAUGAAUGGGGUUUGUAACAUUAUGAUAGGUGUAUCAUAGGGGAAACAAUAUGCAGUGUGUUGGAGGCAUUGGAAUAUUUCUCUUGCAGGUAAGCUAUUGGCCUCUGAAGGUGAAUCCUCUGAUGUGGAAAGAAUUUCGCAUCUGAAGAGUGCUAUAACCAAUAAUGUGCAUGAGGAAUUAUGGUGCUCUCUCGCUGGUGAUGAUGAAAGGGAACAGAUUAACAAAUAAAGUAAUGUGAAAAAAAAAUUGUAGCCAACAGACUGAACAAUUAAAAACAUAAUUCUGAAAUUGCAAUGCAAUUUGCCCAUGUAGCUGUGAGGAGGUUUUGUCCUCAGUUUCUCUGGUAGACAUACAGGUGACACAUGAAUGUGGGAGUAAAGAAAUAAGGUUACCUGUCAGUCACAUUUUACCAUUAGAGCUAGAGUAUUACUUGGGCAUUAAGAAUGCAUGUUUUCAUGUAUUCAUGUGGCUUCCCUUUGGAAGUUUUAGCCAGAAAGGACCUGGCAAUUUAUGUCUUUAGUGCAUGCUCAUUCAGUUGUACUUUAAAUAAAACCUAUUCCUUUUUUUCCCCUUUAACACCCAUCACUUUUCCUCAUUUGACUUCACAGCAGUUAACGAAGGAGGUCAGUACUGAAAACCAAGCUAUGGGUAAGAGACCAAGACAUCCCAUCAAUGCCAAGAGCAGGGAGUGAAUUUUGUCCUGAGACUCCACUCCUGUGCAGUGAUUGUCAGUGGCAGACAAACUUUUGUGACACUCAGGUUAGGAAAUAAGUCAAAAGAGAAGCAUUUAAAAUGUUUUUUUUUUUUUUUUAAGAUUUAUUUUUUUGUAUUUUAAGCACCUUCUUUGCAAUUUAUUCAAAAGCAAAUGACAAUUCCAUGGCUCUGAAGUGUUUCUUUGAUUUCAUUCGUGACUUUGUGUCAGUCCUUGCAGAUCAUCCUCAAGAAACUCGCUUCUCUUAUUUGCUUACUCUGCCGUCUGCACUACAGGAACUUUGUAUGCUGUCUCUUAAUCAUGCUAGGAAUGUCUCUGGCCCCUUUAGUCUCUCAUCACAUCAGUCUCAGCAAAUCCUCCAAAUAUCUUUGCUGCUUUCCUUUGAAUUCAUUCCUUACUGCCUUACUACCCAGAACGAGCUGAUGAGAUACAAGCUAUGGUCUCAUUGAUGUGCUACAUGUGGGGCAGAUGAUUUCAAAUUUUUGCUAUUGCUUGUCACUUAAGGUCACUCCCUCCCUCAGCUACUACCUUCCAGGUAAAUUAUUUCUCUCAGUUUUUUCCCCCUCAUUGGAUUUCUGAGUUAUCAUGCUUAAAUAUUUUACCCACCAUUUUCUUUGAUUAAAUUGUAACUUUAUUUACUGAUUAUGAUUCUCUGCGCAGAGGCGACUGUGCUUUAUCCCUUGUGCAAUCCAAGAGGAAAUGUUUCUUGUGGCUGAGCACCUUUCCUUUGAAUUGAGAUCAAAAUGGUAUCCAAAUGUACAUGAUGUUAGCCUCACAAAAGAAAAAAAAAAAAGUACUGUUAGGGACCGCUGCUAGAAUGAGUAGGAAUACACGAAUAGGGUCAAGAUUGUGGCAUCUGGUCCUUGGUUCUCCUUUGGAAAGCAUUACCCAGCAACAAAUGAAAUGGAGGCAACAUAACCAUUUAAAAUAGCAAAGUAAACAGUUCAUGGCGUAGUCAAGAUAAUCCUUAAUUUCUGCUGCUUAUCUGAGAUCUGCCCUGCCGAUCUGAUGGAGGAUUUAACCUUCCUGAAA